rnacentral:rRNA from 1 species
UACGAAGGGGGCUAGCGUUGCUCGGAAUCACUGGGCGUAAAGCGCACGUAGGCGGCUUUUUAAGUCAGGGGUGAAAUCCUGGAGCUCAACUCCAGAACUGCCUUUGAUACUGAGAAGCUUGAGUCCGGGAGAGGUGAGUGGAACUGCGAGUGUAGAGGUGAAAUUCGUAGAUAUUCGCAAGAACACCAGUGGCGAAGGCGGCUCACUGGCCCGGUACUGACGCUGAGGUGCGAAAACGUGGGGAGCAAACAGG